ACACUUACCAGGCAGGGGAGAGGCUGUAACUGUGAAAGUGGUUUUCCCAGGUGAGACCCAUCUAUUGUGNUCAGGGUAUGCUAACCCCUGCGGUUUCCCCAAAUGUAUACUUUUUGGCUGUGGGGGACUGUGUUCAUGCUUUGCCCAG
rnacentral:snRNA from 1 species